rnacentral:rRNA from 1 species
CCUACGGGAGGCAGCAGUGGGGAAUAUUGGACAAUGGGCGAAAGCCUGAUCCAGCAAUGCCGCGUGAGUGAUGAAGGCCUUAGGGUUGUAAAGCUCUUUUACCAGGGAUGAUAAUGACAGUACCUGGAGAAUAAGCUCCGGCUAACUCCGUGCCAGCAGCCGCGGUAAUACGGAGGGAGCUAGCGUUGUUCGGAAUUACUGGGCGUAAAGCGUACGUAGGCGGUUAUUCAAGUCAGAGGUGAAAGCCUGGAGCUCAACUCCAGAACUGCCUUUGAAACUAGAUAGCUAGAAUCUUGGAGAGGUGAGCGGAAUUCCGAGUGUAGAGGUGAAAUUCGUAGAUAUUCGGAAGAACACCAGUGGCGAAGGCGACUCACUGGACAAGUAUUGACGCUGAGGUACGAAAGCGUGGGGAGUAAACAGGAUUAGAUACCCUGGUAGUCCACGCCGUAAACGAUGAUAACUAGCUGUUCGGGCUCUACGAGCUUGAGUGGCGCNGCUACGCAUUAAGUUAUCCGUCCGUCGGGAGGUACGGUCGCGAGAAGUUAAACUUAAAGUAAGUAAGUAGACGGUACGUAGAGACGUCGACCGACGGACGACGACGAGGGAGGAGG